rnacentral:rRNA from 1 species
AGAGAAGCUUGCUUCUCUUGAGAGCGGCGGACGGGUGAGUAAUGCCUAGGAAUCUGCCUGGUAGUGGGGGAUAACGUUCGGAAACGAACGCUAAUACCGCAUACGUCCUACGGGAGAAAGCAGGGGACCUUCGGGCCUUGCGCUAUCAGAUGAGCCUAGGUCGGAUUAGCUAGUUGGUGAGGUAAUGGCUCACCAAGGCGACGAUCCGUAACUGGUCUGAGAGGAUGAUCAGUCACACUGGAACUGAGACACGGUCCAGACUCCUACGGGAGGCAGCAGUGGGGAAUAUUGGACAAUGGGCGAAAGCCUGAUCCAGCCAUGCCGCGUGUGUGAAGAAGGUCUUCGGAUUGUAAAGCACUUUAAGUUGGGAGGAAGGGCAGUUACCUAAUACGUAAUUGUUUUGACGUUACCGACAGAAUAAGCACCGGCUAACUCUGUGCCAGCAGCCGCGGUAAUACAGAGGGUGCAAGCGUUAAUCGGAAUUACUGGGCGUAAAGCGCGCGUAGGUGGUUUGUUAAGUUGAAUGUGAAAUCCCCGGGCUCAACCUGGGAACUGCAUCCAAAACUGGCAAGCUAGAGUAUGGUAGAGGGUGGUGGAAUUUCCUGUGUAGCGGUGAAAUGCGUAGAUAUAGGAAGGAACACCAGGGCGAAGGCGACCACCUGGACUGAUACUGACACUGAGGGGCGAAAGCGGGGGAGCAAACAGGAUUAGAUACCCUGGUUGUCCCCGCCGUAAACGAUGUCAACUAGCCGUUGGGAGCCUUGAGCUCUUAGUGGCGCAGCUAACGCAUUAAGUUGACCGCC